UACGUAGGGUGCAAGCGUUGUCCGGAAUUAUUGGGCGUAAAGGGCUCGUAGGCGGUUUGUCGCGUCGGGAGUGAAAACCUCGGGCUUAACUCGGGGCUUGCAUUCGAUACGGGCAGACUAGAGUUCGGUAGGGGAGACUGGAAUUCCUGGUGUAGCGGUGAAAUGCGCAGAUAUCAGGAGGAACACCAAUGGCGAAGGCAGCUCGCUGGGACGGUACUGACGCUGAGACGCGAAAGCGUGGGGAGCAAACAGG
rnacentral:rRNA from 1 species